UACGUAGGGGGCGAGCGUUGUCCGGAUUUAUUGGGCGUAAAGAGCGUGUAGGCGGCCAGGUAGGUCUGCUGUGAAAAACUCGAGGCUCAACCUCGAGACGCCGAUGGAAACCAUCUGACUAGAGUCCGGAAGAGGAGAGUGGAAUUCCUGGUGUAGCGGUGAAAUGCGCAGAUAUCAGGAAGAACACCCGUGGCUAAGGCGGCUCUCUAGUACGGUACUGACGCUGAGACGCGAAAGCGUGGGGAGCGAACAGG
rnacentral:rRNA from 1 species